GGUUCCUUAGCCAAGUGGUAAGGCAGCUGACUGCAACUCAGCGAGCGCCGGUCCGACUCCGGCAGGAACCU
rnacentral:tRNA from 2 species